rnacentral:snRNA from 1 species
UCACCUUCUCGGCCUUUUGGCUAAGAUCAAGUGUAGUAUCUGUUCUUAUCAGUUUAAUUCACCUUCUCGUUGAACAACCUCCAGUCACUUUAUCACACUGUCAUGUUGUUUUGAGCACUUAUCACAAGCCAAAAUUAUCUUGUUUUUGUCUCUUGUCCCAUAAAAUGUAAGCUCCGGAGAGCAGGGACUUGCUCAUUGCACUGGGCCUAACACUU